rnacentral:other from 1 species
AAAUUUCUGGGAUAUUCGGGAACCUUUAUUUUGAACCUACAGUUCAUGCAAGGGAGUUUAAUAUUUUGAUAUGGAUAUGUGCCUUUCAGUGAAUCCCUUAGGGUAUUUAAGGAGAUAGAAGUAUCAGUGAGGACACCCACCUAUCUGAAGAUAGGGCGUCAAAAUAGGGCGAGCGGUAUUUUGGAUAUAGU